rnacentral:rRNA from 1 species
GACGAACCGUGCGAACGUUGUUCGGAAUCACUGGGCUUAAAGGGCGCGUAGGCGGGCCAUCAAGUCCGGGGUGAAAUCCUCCGGCUUAACCGGAGAAUUGCCUUGGAUACUGGUGGUCUUGAGGGAAGUAGGGGUCUGCGGAACUUCCGGUGGAGCGGUGAAAUGUGUUGAUAUCGGAAGGAACGCCGGUGGCGAAAGCGGCGGACUGGGCUGCUUCUGACGCUGAGGCGCGAAAGCUAGGGGAGCAAACGGG